GGAAGAAGAAAACUCUACACAGACCUUGAAAGAUGCUCCUUCAAUGAAAACCUCAGGAGUUUCAGAGAUAAACUACGACAUUCACUGCAUGGUUUCCAUUGUGCAUCUUAGUUUUGAUGAGGAAUACAUGUUUCAUGUCUUAGAAGAGUAAAAUCAUAUGAGAAAAAGAAAGAAGGACAUGGAAGACACCUGCUCUUCCCUGAGGUCUGUGAAAGCAUCAAAGGAAGUGCAAUACAAAACACUGCAAACAAAAGUAGAACAUAUCUAUGACAUCUGUGAUGGAAGUAGGAAGGCUGCAGAGGAGAAGCUAUUUAUGAGAUGACGUGAGGGGGAAGAGAAACAAAAGAAGCUGUCAAUUGUACAAGAUAAAGAGAAG